rnacentral:rRNA from 1 species
AUUGAACGCUGGCGGCAGGCCUAACACAUGCAAGUCGAGCGGUAGAGAGGUGCUUGCAUCUCUUGAGAGCGGCGGACGGGUGAGUAAUGCCUAGGAAUCUGCCUGGUAGUGGGGGAUAACGCUCGGAAACGGACGCUAAUACCGCAUACGUCCUACGGGAGAAAGCAGGGGACCUUCGGGCCUUGCGCUAUCAGAUGAGCCUAGGUCGGAUUAGCUAGUUGGUGAGGUAAUGGCUCACCAAGGCGACGAUCCGUAACUGGUCUGAGAGGAUGAUCAGUCACACUGGAACUGAGACACGGUCCAGAAUCCUACGGGAGGCAGCAGUGGGGAAUAUUGGACAAUGGGCGAAAGCCUGAUCCAGCCAUGCCGCGUGUGUGAAGAAGGUCUUCGGAUUGUAAAGCACUUUAAGUUGGGAGGAAGGGUCGUUACCUAAUACGUGACGAUUUUGACGUUACCGACAGAAUAAGCACCGGCUAACUCUGUGCCAGCAGCCGCCGUAAGAC